GUGCUCACUUUGGCAGCAUAUACACUAAAAUUAAAGCAAGACAGAGAAGAUUAGCAUGGCCCCGGCUCAAGGAUGACACAUAAAUUCAUGAAGUGUUCCAUAUUUUU